rnacentral:rRNA from 1 species
UACGUAGGGUGCAAGCGUUAAUCGGAAUUACUGGGCGUAAAGCGUGCGCAGGCGGUUGUGCAAGACCGAUGUGAAAUCCCCGGGCUUAACCUGGGAAUGGCAUUGGUGACUGCACGGCUAGAGUGUGUCAGAGGGGGGUAGAAUUCCACGUGUAGCAGUGAAAUGCGUAGAGAUGUGGAGGAAUACCGAUGGCGAAGGCAGGUCUCUGGGCUGACACUGACGCUCAUGCACGAAAGCGUGGGGAGCAAACAGG